UCCUAUUCAGCAAAGUAUGGAAGAGCCUGCUUGUUCACAGCUUCACCAACACCAAGCACCAAGCUCCUAAAACCAGGAAGGUGGGGACUCUCAUGCCCACCUCCUGCCCUGCAGGAAGCCAGCGGCGGCAGCAGGAGUGGGAGCCCCGCGCAUCCUUCCCCUCGCUCCCCUGUGCGUCUCUUCCCUUUGGCGGUUUCUGAGUUGUAUCCUUCAUGACAAACCACUUUAUUUAAAGAAGAGGCUGCGUGUUGCUGCAGGCGAGCCCUGGAGGGAGCCGGGCCCGGCUGUGCACCCUGGUCAGCAAAGGAAGCCCUCCGGAAACUUGACUUUCACUCUCAGGAGGCUGGUUAGCCACCAUCUACUGUGAUCCUUUAAGGGGUCUUACUCCCCUCCCUGAGAUCCUUUAUCAAGUAUUUUUUC